UGGGGAAUAUUGCACAAUGGGGGAAACCCUGAUGCAGCGACGCCGCGUGAGUGAAGAAGUAUUUCGGUAUGUAAAGCUCUAUCAGCAGGGAAGAAAAUGACGGUACCUGAGUAAGAAGCCCCGGCUAACUACGUGCCAGCAGCCGCGGUAAUACGUAGGGGGCAAGCGUUAUCCGGAUUUACUGGGUGUAAAGGGAGCGCAGACGGCUCUGCAAGUCUGAAGUGAAAGCCCGCGGCUUAACCGCGGGACUGCUUUGGAAACUGCAAGGCUUGAGUAUCGGAGGGGCAGGCGGAAUUCCUAGUGUAGCGGUGAAAUGCGUAGAUAUUAGGAAGAACACCGGUGGCGAAGGCGGCCUGCUGGACGAAAACUGACGUUGAGGCUCGAAGGCGUGGGGAGCAAACAGGAUUAGAUACCCUGGUAGUCCACGCGGUAAGCGAUGAAUACUAGGUGUUGGUGCCCGAAGGGCAUCGGUGCCGUCGCAAACGCAAUAAGUAUUCCACCUGGGGAGUACGUUCGCAAGAAUG
rnacentral:rRNA from 1 species